UAGAACUGGAAAGGGAGAGAGAGCUAGAGAGGGAGACAGAGACAAAAAAUGGAAUGGGAGAGACAAAGAGAAAAGAUGUAGAGAGAGAGGAUGGGAGAGACAGAUGGAGAAGAAGACAAGGGGCCCCAUAUUUCCCACUGUGAUCACCUGAAGGGAGACAGUAUCCCAGGAGAACCAGGUGACAGAGGAAUUCCUGGGGUCGCAGGGGUGACAAAGGUGUGCCUGGUCACAGAGGAGACAAGGUAAGGACAGCAUAAGCCUAGAUUGAAUAACUGCAUGGUGGUUAUUUUGAUUCUUUCACCAACUACCAAACCUGCUGGUUU
rnacentral:lncRNA from 1 species